rnacentral:tRNA from 1 species
GGAGAGAUGGCUCAGUGGUUAAGAGCACUUGCUGUUUGUUCCAGAGGACCUAGGUUCGAUUCCCAGCAUCCAUA